AUAAUUGUUUGUAAUCAAUGUCAAUGGAAAUUGGAAUGUACCUUUUUUAUUCCUUUUAAGUCGAAGAUCUUUGCUAGUUACCUUUCUUCUUUAAUUUUUAGUUUUUGCUAAUUUCCUUUCUUUAUAAUUUUUUCAGAUCCGUCUUACAAAAAUUUCUAUCACAAUUCUUUUAGGGAAUUCGAGGAGCGAGAUUCAGAAGUGUUUGUGAAAUGCUGAGAAUUCAAGAGACUUUGAC
rnacentral:lncRNA from 1 species